AAUCUGAUUUGCAAAUAGCAUGUUUCUCAGUUUCCCUAUAGACCUAAAGAAACAAAUAAAUUAAGAUAGAAAAUAUUCAUAAUUCAUUCAUAUAUAAAUUGUAUUGAACGCUAGAACUCAUCAUGUUUCGUUUACCAUUCGGAGAAAGAGUUGAUCCUUUGGAGGAAAAACGUCAAGCAAGAGAAAAUACUAUCAACAGUGUUAUAACAUUCUGUGUAUUGUGUGCAGCUAUUCGAAUAGCUCCAUUGGUCAUCGAGCACAGUGGAUUUUAAACUAUUAGAAGGAGCAUGAGCUGAAGAAAAUUCUGCGCUGUAUAUUAUGUAAUAAAUUAUUCCCUUAGUUAA